AUUGAACGCUGGCGGCAUGCUUUACACAUGCAAGUCGAACGGCAGCGCGGGCUUCGGCCUGGCGGCGAGUGGCGAACGGGUGAGUAAUGCAUCGGAACGUGCCCAGUAGUGGGGGAUAGCCCGGCGAAAGCCGGAUUAAUACCGCAUACGACCUGAGGGUGAAAGCGGGGGACCGAAAGGCCUCGCGCUAUUGGAGCGGCCGAUGUCGGAUUAGCUAGUUGGUGGGGUAAAGGCUUACCAAGGCGACGAUCCGUAGCUGGUCUGAGAGGACGACCAGCCACACUGGAACUGAGACACGGCCCAGACUCCUACGGGAGGCAGCAGUGGGGAAUUUUGGACAAAGGGGGCAACCCUGAUCCAGCCAUGCCGCGUGCGGGAAGAAGGCCUUCGGGUUGUAAACCGCUUUUGUUCGGGAAGAAAUCCUCUGGGCUAAUACCCCGGGGGGAUGACGGUACCGGAAGAAUAAGCACCGGCUAACUACGUG
rnacentral:rRNA from 1 species